rnacentral:rRNA from 1 species
AAUGAACGUUGGCGGCGUGGAUUAGGCAUGCAAGUCGAGCGAGAACCCCGCAAGGGGGGACAGCGGCGAAAGGGACAGUAAUGUGUAGAUUAUCUGCCCUCAGGUCCAGGAUAGCUGCGGGAAACUGCAGGUAAUACCGGAUAACAUCUCCGGAUCAAAGGUGUGAUUCCGCCUGAGGAUGAGUCUGCAUCCUAUUAGCUAGUUGGUGGGGUAAUGGCCUACCAAGGCAUUGAUGGGUAGCAGGUGUGAGAGCACGACCUGCGUCAUUGGGACUGAGACACUGCCCAGACACCUACGGGUGGCUGCAGUCGAGAAUCUUCGGCAAUGGGCGCAAGCCUGACCGAGCGACGCCGCGUGUGGGAUGAAGGCCUGCGGGUUGUAAACCACUGUCAGAGGGGAUGAAAUGCAGGUGGGUGCUCCCAUCUGUUUGACAUAGCCUCAGAGGAAGGACGGGCUAAGUUCGUG